rnacentral:rRNA from 1 species
AUUGAACGCUGGCGGCAUGCCUUACACAUGCAAGUCGAACGGCAGCACGGGUGCUUGCCCCUGGUGGCGAGUGGCGAACGGGUGAGUAAUACAUCGGAACAUGUCCUGUAGUGGGGGAUAGCCCGGCGAAAGCCGGAUUAAUACCGCAUACGAUCUACGGAUGACAGCGGGGGACCUUCGGGCCUCGGGCUAUGGGGUUGGCCGAUGGCGGAUUAGCUCGUUGGUGGGGUAAAGGCCGACCAAGGCAACGAUCAGUAGCUGGUCUGAGAGGGCGACCAGCCACACUGGGACUGAGACACGGCCCAGACUCCUACGGGAGGCAGCAGUGGGGAAUUUUGGACAAUGGGCGAAAGCCUGAUCCAGCAAUGCCGCGUGUGUGAAGAAGGCCUUCGGGUUGUAAAGCACUUUUGUCCGGAAAGAAAUACUUGGCCCUAAUACGGUCGGGGGAUGACGGUACCGGAAGAAUAAGCACCGGCUAACUACGUG